CGACAGAAGGUGAUCGAAAAGUACCUUCAAGGGUUACGUCAUCAUGAAGACGGCUACUCCCAUGGCUACCUGAAGUCAGACGAUGAGCUUAAGCUUUUUGAGAGGUCCUUGGCUGCCCUCAACGAGAGGUAUGCUGUGCGGACAUCAAGAGACCUGAACAAGCCGUCUAAAUCCAAUGUCGUCUUCUCCAUGAUCCACUCCGGGUGCAGAAUCUCUCUAGACAAUGUACCGUUUGUGGUUGUCAAAGAAACCGUCAAAGUCUGCAUAUUUGUAACGGAAUACUACAAAAAGACUCGAGAGAAAAACAAAGACCAGGGUUCAAGCACCACUGACUGGCCGAAGGAGGUGUACGAGAAGAAGCGAAUGAACCUCCAAGGCACAAAGAAGAAAGGGUGUGCAGCAACAAUGAAUUUGAGGUGGAUUGAAUUGUACCCA